rnacentral:sRNA from 2 species
GUGACAGGCUUGCAUGCAUAGGAUAUGGGCAAAAGUGUGCCAUAUUUGGCCCCCUCACAAUAAAUUCGACUUGGAGGACUGACUCUACCAUUUAUUUGGGCCGGGUUCGUGUUGGAUCAUUUACCUUGGGAAAACCUUUGUGCCAUGCGCUCUGACUCCUCCAUAUUGUGAGAGUCUAACAGUGAGUUUCCCAGGGCAGGUAACGAACUAACCGUUUGAAAUUUGAAUACACUAGAGUAUAUGGUCCUGUGUAAGAUGCAGUGCCAUGCGAUAAAAUUUGGCAACCCACACCAAAACCAUACUGUAAGAGCAGCAGUUGUUCUGGUGAGGACGGGAG